rnacentral:piRNA from 1 species
UUCNGCCUUAUUAACAUUCAGCAAGCAUGC